UACAGAGGUCUCAAGCGUUGUUCGGAUUCAUUGGGCGUAAAGGGUGCGUAGGCGGCGCGGUAAGUCGGGUGUGAAAUCUCGGAGCUUAACUCCGAAACUGCAUUCGAUACUGCCGUGCUUGAGGACUGGAGAGGAGACUGGAAUUUACGGUGUAGCGGUGAAAUGCGUAGAGAUCGUAAGGAAGGCCAGUGGCGAAGGCGAGUUCCUGGACAGUUACUGACGCUGAGGCACGAAGGCCAGGGGAGCAAACGGG
rnacentral:rRNA from 1 species